rnacentral:rRNA from 1 species
AUUGAACGCUGGCGGCAUGCCUUACACAUGCAAGUCGAACGGCAGCACGGGGCAACCUGGUGGCGAGUGGCGAACGGGUGAGUAAUACAUCGGAACGUGCCAUUGAGUGGGGGAUAACGUAGCGAAAGUUGCGCUAAUACCGCAUAUUCUGUGAGCAGGAAAGCAGGGGACCGCAAGGCCUUGCGCUCUUUGAGCGGCCGAUGUCAGAUUAGCUAGUUGGUGAGGUAACGGCUUACCAAGGCGACGAUCUGUAGCGGGUCUGAGAGGAUGAUCCGCCACACUGGAACUGAGACACGGUCCAGACUCCUACGGGAGGCAGCAGUGGGGAAUUUUGGACAAUGGGCGCAAGCCUGAUCCAGCCAUGCCGCGUGAGUGAAGAAGGCCUCGGUUGUAAG